rnacentral:tRNA from 1 species
UCUAUAGCUCAGUUGGUAGAGCAGCGGACUCUUAAUCCGCGGGUCGUGGGUUCGAGUCCCUCUGG